rnacentral:tRNA from 1 species
GGUGCUGUGGCUCAGUGUGGUAGAGCGCUAGCCUUUAACUCUGGGGCAGCACCC